GCUCUCUGGUUUCUCUUCAGAUCCUAUAAAUCUUUUGCCUUUUACAAACAAUUUCCAUGGAGAGAAACUUAUGAGUUUCAUCACUGAUUUUUUUUUUUUUUUUUCAGGCACCAUA
ensembl:snRNA U5 U5 spliceosomal RNA